GAAACUAUAGCGCAGAAGAUUAGCGCAUCCGUAGGAAGAACGGAGGGGAUGUGUUCGAAUCACAUUAGUUUUC
rnacentral:tRNA from 1 species